rnacentral:ncRNA from 12 species
UGCUUGCGAGGUGAGAACGGCCUGCUCACGCUCCUGCAGUUUUGCAGGACAGUAGCCGAAAGGUGAAGAGAUCCUGGGAAUUGGCAUCCAGGCGCAAGUA